GUUGAAACGCGGGUUCUCGUAAGGUCACCGAAGUUAAGCAAAGUCGAACCUGGUCAGUACCUAGCUGGGUGACCGCUUGGGAAUGCCAGGUGUUGUA
rnacentral:rRNA from 1 species